GAUGAACGCUGGCGGCGUGCCUAAUACAUGCAAGUCGAGCGAACGGACGAGAAGCUUGCUUCUCUGAUGUUAGCGGCGGACGGGUGAGUAACACGUGGAUAACCUACCUAUAAGACUGGGAUAACUUCGGGAAACCGGAGCUAAUACCGGAUAAUAUUUUGAACCGCAUGGUUCAAAAGUGAAAGACGGUCUUGCUGUCACUUAUAGAUGGAUCCGCGCUGCAUUAGCUAGUUGGUAAGGUAACGGCUUACCAAGGCAACGAUGCAUAGCCGACCUGAGAGGGGGAUCGCCCACACUGGAACUGAGACACGGACAAGGCUCCUACGGGAGGGAGCAGUAGGGAAUCUGCCGCAAUGGGCGAAAGCCUGACGGAGCAACGCCGCGUGAGUGAUGAAGGUCUUCGGAUCGUAAAAAUCUGUUAUUAGGGAAGAACAUAUGUGUAAGUAACUGUGCACAUCUUGACGGUACCUAAUCAGAAAGCCACGGCUAACUACGUG
rnacentral:rRNA from 1 species